CCCUUAGAUGUUCUGGGCUGCACGCGCGCUACACUGAUGCGCUCAACGAGUUUUAACCUUGCCUGGAAAGGUUGGGUAAUCUUUUUAAAACGCAUCGUGAUGGGGAUAGAUUAUUGCAAUUAUUAAUCUUCAACGAGGAAUUCCUAGUAAGCGCGAGUCAUCAGCUCGUGCUGAUUACGUCCCUGCCCUUUGUACACACCGCCCGUCGCUCCUACCGAUUGAGUUAUCCGGUGAAUAAUUCGGACUGCGGCAUUGACCGGUUCCCGAUCGUUGCUGCGGAAAGUUUAGUGAACCUUAUCACUUAGAGGAAGGAGAAGUCGUAACA
rnacentral:rRNA from 1 species